rnacentral:rRNA from 1 species
UACGAAGGGGGCUAGCGUUGCUCGGAAUCACUGGGCGUAAAGCGCACGUAGGCGGAUUGUUAAGUCAGGGGUGAAAUCCUGGAGCUCAACUCCAGAACUGCCUUUGAUACUGGCAAUCUUGAGUCCGGGAGAGGUGAGUGGAACUCCGAGUGUAGAGGUGAAAUUCGUAGAUAUUCGGAAGAACACCAGUGGCGAAGGCGGCUCACUGGCCCGGUACUGACGCUGAUGUGCGAAAGCGUGGGGAGCAAACAGG